rnacentral:rRNA from 1 species
UACGAGGGGGGCGAGCGUUGUUCGGAAUUAUUGGGCGUAAAGGGUGCGUAGGCGGUUUGGUAAGUCUUUUGUGAAAUCUCUGGGCUCAACUCAGAGUCUGCAAGGGAAACUGCCGGGCUGGAGUGUGGGAGAGGUGAGUGGAAUUUCCGGUGUAGCGGUGAAAUGCGUAGAUAUCGGAAGGAACACCUGUGGCGAAAGCGGCUCACUGGACCACAACUGACGCUGAUGCACGAAAAGCUAGGGGGAGCAAACAGG